rnacentral:rRNA from 1 species
GACGAACGCUGGCGGCGUGCUUAACACAUGCAAGUCGAGCGGAAAGGCUCCUUCGGGGGUACUCGAGCGGCGAACGGGUGAGUAACACGUGAGUAAUCUGCCCUGCGCUCUGGGAUAGCCACCGGAAACGGUGAUUAAUACCGGAUAUGACCGCUACACGCAUGUGUUGGUGGUGGAAAGUUUUUCGGCGCAGGAUGUGCUCGCGGCCUAUCAGCUUGUUGGUGAGGUAAUGGCUCACCAAGGCUUUGACGGGUAGCCGGCCUGAGAGGGGUACCGGGCACACUGGGACAGGAGAACGGCACAGACUCCGACGGGAGGCAGCAGUGGGGAAUAUUGGACAAUGGGCGGAAGCCUGAUCCAGCAACGCCGCGUGAGGGAUGACGGCCUUCGGGUUGUAAACCUCUUUCAGUACCGACGAAGCGAAAGUGACGGUAGGUACAGAAGAAGGACCGGCCAACUACGUGUCAGCCGCCGCCGUAACAC